GAUGAACGCUGGCGGCGUGCUUAAUACAUGCAAGUCGAACGGAGGUAUGUAGCAAUACGUGCCUUAGUGGCGAACGGGUGAGUAACGCGUUGGUGACCUACCCCAGAGAGGGGGAUAACAGUUCGAAAGGACUGCUAAUACCCCAUGCCGUCAUGGAGCUUAGAAAUCCAUGACGAAAGGUGCAAAUCGCUCUGGGAGGGGCCUGCGUCCCAUCAGCUAGUUGGUAGGGUAAUGGCCUACCAAGGCGACGACGGGUAGGGGACCUGAGAGGGUGACCCCCCACACUGGCACUGAAACACGGGCCAGACACCUACGGGUGCAG
rnacentral:rRNA from 1 species